rnacentral:rRNA from 1 species
AUUGAACGCUGGCGGCAGGCCUAACACAUGCAAGUCGAGCGGAUGACGGGAGCUUGCUCCUUGAUUCAGCGGCGGACGGGUGAGUAAUGCCUAGGAAUCUGCCUGGUAGUGGGGGACAACGUUUCGAAAGGAACGCUAAUACCGCAUACGUCCUACGAGAGAAAGCAGGGGACCUUCGGGCCUUGCGCUAUCAGAUGAGCCUAGGUCGGAUUAGCUAGUAGGUGAGGUAAUGGCUCACCUAGGCGACGAUCCGUAACUGGUCUGAGAGGAUGAUCAGUCACACUGGAACUGAGACACGGUCCAGACUCCUACGGGAGGCAGCAGUGGGGAAUAUUGGACAAUGGGCGAAAGCCUGAUCUAGCCAUGCCGCGUGUGUGAAGAAGGUCUUCGGAUUGUAAAGCACUUUAAGUUGGGAGGAAGGGCGGUAAGUUAAUACCUUGCUGUUUUGACGUUACCGACAGAAUAAGCACCGGCUAACUCUGUGCCAGCCGCCGCCGUAAAAC